AGAGUUUGAUCAUGGCUCAGGAUGAACGCUGGCGGUCUGCUUAACACAUGCAAGUCGAACGGAACUUUUCGGAGUUCAGUGGCGGACGGGUGAGUAACGCGUGAGAAUCUGCCUUCUGGUCGGGGACAACCACUGGAAACGGUGGCUAAUACCGGAUGAGCCUACGGGUAAAAGAUUUAUUGCCAGAAGAGGAGCUCGCGUCUGAUUAGCUAGUUGGUGAGGUAAAGGCUCACCAAGGCAUCGAUCAGUAGCUGGUCUGAGAGGAUGACCAGCCACACUGGGACUGAGACACGGCCCAGACUCCUACGGGAGGCAGCAGUGGGGAAUUUUCCGCAAUGGGCGAAAGCCUGACGGAGCAAGACCGCGUGAGGGAGGAAGGCUCUUGGGUUGUAAACCUCUUUUCUUGGGGAAGAAAAAAAUGACGGUACCCAAGGAAUCAGCAUCGGCUAACUCCGUGCCAGCAGCCGCGGUAAUACGGAGGAUGCAAGCGUUAUCCGGAAUUAUUGGGCGUAAAGCGUCCGCAGGUGGCACUUCAAGUCUGCUGUCAAAGGUCGGGGCUUAACCCCGGGAAGGCAGUGGAAACUGAAGCGCUAGAGUGUCGUAGGGGUAGAGGGAAUUCCCGGUGUAGCGGUGAAAUGCGUAGAGAUCGGGAAGAACAUCGGUGGCGAAAGCGCUCUACUGGACGACAACUGACACUCAGGGACGAAAGCUAGGGGAGCGAAUGGGAUUAGAUACCCCCGUAGUCC
rnacentral:rRNA from 1 species